UACGGAGGGUGCAAGCGUUAUCCGGAUUCACCGGGUUUAAAGGGUGCGUAGGCGGAUAGGUAAGUCCGUGGUGAAAUCCUGCAGCUUAACUGCAGAACUGCCGUGGAUACUAUCUAUCUUGAAUGUCGUGGAGGUUAGCGGAAUAUGUCAUGUAGCGGUGAAAUGCUUAGAUAUGACAUAGAACACCCAUUGCGAAGGCAGCUAACUACGCGAUAAUUGACGCUGAUGCACGAAAGCGUGGGGAUCAAACAGG
rnacentral:rRNA from 1 species